UCCCUGGAAGACUAGUGGUUAGGCCACAGAGCUCUCGCUGCUGCAGCCUGGGUUCGAUUCCUGGCCAGGGAA
rnacentral:tRNA from 1 species